rnacentral:rRNA from 1 species
UACAGAGGAUGCAAGCGUUAUCCGGAAUGAUUGGGCGUAAAGCGUCUGUAGGUGGCUUUUUAAGUCCGCCGUCAAAUCCCAGGGCUCAACUCUGGACAGGCGGUGGAAACUACCAAGCUGGAGUACGGUAGGGGCAGAGGGAAUUUCCGGUGGAGCGGUGAAAUGCGUAGAGAUCGGAAAGAACACCAACGGCGAAGGCAGCUCUCUGGGACGGUACUGACGCUGAGACGCGAAAGCGUGGGGAGCGAACAGG